GGUCUUAUAGUUUAAGAGAUAAAACUUUAAAUUGCAAAUUUAAGUAUGGUAUUUGUAUAUAUCUAAGACUU
rnacentral:tRNA from 1 species